rnacentral:lncRNA from 1 species
UGAGCUAAAUCUAAAAUCAAAUUUUAUAAAAAAUAAUUAAAAAAUGUUGAUCUAUUUGAAAUAAGAGCUUGUUUGGUUCAUCCAUUUUGGGUAUGGAAUGGGAAUCGGUUUGAUCAAAUCCAUUUAAUUUUAUUUGGUUCGCAUGAAUCGGUUUGGGAUUCCUAUUCCGGACUGGAAUGGGAAUGACCCAUUAGCCUUCAACUUGAUUUCGGCCUUCUAGCCCGGAUUGAGAUUUCAUUUCGGAAUCCCACUAAGUUCUCGAAGCCCAUGUGACCAUCUUACCCUCAUUCUCUUCACCCAUUUUUUAUCAAAAAAAAAAAAAAAAUCUAUCCUCUCUCAAAACCCUAUCCUUAACUCACAUUAAUAAAAGUUUUUAAAAAUAAAUUUGAUAUUUUUUUUGAAAAACUUAUUAGAGAAUAAUAUUAUAUUUUUUUAUAAAUUUUUAAAAAUAUAAAUUUAUAUUUGAGAGUAAAAUUAGUAUUAUAGUAUCCUAUAAUUUUUUUAGUUUAUAUGAACCAAACAAUGAAAUAUGAAUAACUCAUUCCAAUUUCCAAUCCACAAAUAAACCAAACGUUUUGGGGAAGUGAGCCAUUCCAAUUACGAUUCCAAUUCAUUCCCAUUCCAUUAUCCAUUCCAAUUCCACCCUUGAACCAAACAAGCCAUAAUAGUAAAUAAUGCAACUUCAUCUUCUUCUUCUUUCCUUUUUGAUUUUUGACAUUUUUUAUAGCAGCGAUGAUAAAUAAUGAACUUCUCAGAAAAAAAUUAUUUAUUUUAAAUUUUUUUUUUCUACUUUAUUCAUCAUUUUCCAUUAUCGCGUGCUCUUUCUCGUCCUUUACCAUAGCCACCGUCGUCACCGGACGCACUCUGCUGCCUGGUCGUCCUUAAAUCCUUCGGUAUUCUCAU